AUCUCUCUCUUGCUGGCAUGUGAGGACGCAGGGAGAAGGCAGCAGUCUGCAAGACAGGAAGAGAGUUCUCACCAGAACCCAACCAUGCUGGCACCCUGAUGUCGGACUUCCAGUCUCCAGAACUAAAUGUAGCAUUCUAUUGGCUGGAACUUUCACCCAUAAACAGGGCCACUAUAUAUGGAAAAAGAAGAAGAAAACUAAUUAAUAACUAUUUAUUAAUGAGUCAAAAGGUAAACCUGAUAAUACGAAGUACCAUAUCUCAUGCCCAGCAUCAGUUAAAGCUCUUGGGGACAGCUGAGUUUAUUCUGAGGUCUUUUAUAUCUUCCUCAGUCUUGACCUGUGCUAUGGUCCGAAUGUUUGUGUCCUCCCCUAAUAUUCAUAUGCUGAAAUCCUAAAGACCAAUGAAAUGGUAUUAGGAGGUGGGGAUUUGGGGAGGUGCUUAGGUCAUGAGGGCCCACCCUCAUGACUGGGAUCAGUGUUCUUGUAAAAAGAGAGCCCACAGAGAUCCUCUGUCCCUUCUACCAUGUAAGGAUACAGUGAGAAGGUACCAGCCACGAACCAGGAAGAGGGCUCUCACCAGAACACAACCAUGCUGGCACGCUGAUCUCAGGCUUCCCAGCCUCCAGAACCAUGAGAGAUAAAUUUCCGUCAUUUAUAAGCCACCCAGUCUAUGAUAUUUUGUUAUAGCAGCCCAAACAGACUAAGACAACCUUCUAUGCCAUUGCAUCAAAGCUCACCACACUGCUUCCUAUGACUGAAUAUUACUCGGUAAUGCCUGCGACCUUCAUUUUUAAAGUCAAUUCGGAAGAAAGAUAUCUUAUGAAAGAAGCUCAAAGACAAAAGACUACCAAUAUUUUGGAGGAAAAUAAAGGGUCUUGAAGGAAUAAUGAACAAUAAGUCUUUUCCACCACAUAAUAAUUUUCGGGAAAUGAUAAAGAGAGUAAAUAUUCAGUCAUAUGUAUCAUCCCUUGUCUCGGCUGGGCACCCAUUAUUUUGCUUCAACUAGGCACUGGGGAUACAGUGAGGAGUAAAUCGGUCAUGGGCCCACCAUUGGUUUAUAGUCUAGUGGGAGAGUUUUCUCUGGUUGGUGGAAGAAGAUAAAGUUAAAGAGUUUGAAGCAUGAGAAGGAUUCAAAGCUGCUGGCUUGAAGAAGGAGGGAGCCAUGUGUCAAGAAAACAGAGACCUCUGUCCUACAACUUCAAGGACUGAAAUCUGCCAACAACCAGAGAGAGGUUGGAAGCUGAUUUGUGUCCUAGAGCCUCCAGAUGAGAACUAAGCCUGGCUAACACCUUGAUUUCAGGCUUGUGAUGUUGAGCAGAAAGCUAGCCAUAUCUUGCAGAAUUCUCACCUACAGAACUGUGAUCUAAUAAAUGGGUGUUUAUUUUAAGCCUCCAUGUUUAUGGUAAUGUUUUAUGCAGCAGUAAAAUCUAAUAGUUUAUCUCUGCUCCCCAUGGCACGCUGAAGUGGAUAGAUUUGGAACUGGAGGAUCUACUUCCAAGAUGACUCACUUGCACGGCUGGCAAAUUGGUGCUGGUUGCACGUGCUGUCAGUCUCUUAGAUAGUGUUGAGGGUUGGGGGCAUCAGUCCUUCUACAUCCUUUCCCUACAGCAGGUGGUUAGGUUCCAAGAGCCAUCGUCCCAAGAGAACAGGAGAAAGUGAAUGGCAACUUUAUGAUCUGGGAAAUUAUAUAACAUCAUUUUCACCAUAUUCUGUUGGUGGAUAUAGUCACAAAAGUCUGCUCAGGUUCAAGUGGAAGGGGCAUAAUCCUUACCACUCAAUCAGAAUGGUUUCAACGUCUCAUUAUAAGAAGUACAGAUGGGAUGGGAUAUUUUGUGACAGUGAUAUUUGAAACAUACAGUUACAUGGUGAUUUAAUGACUCAUUCCUGUCUCAAUACUAAUUUUGUUUGUUAAAAUGUUAACAUUUGAAGGAAAAGUUGGAAGUAAUGACAGUGAAAAGGAAAGCAUUAUUACACUCCAGUGGUAGGUUAGGGAUGUGAAUGGGUUUGGAUAUAGAAUACACAUGCAGAUAGUAAGUCCCAUAAUGACAAACGUCAAGAACAUUUGUUAACUUUAACAUUAACUAAAAUUUCUAAAAAAUAUCCAAGAUGUUGAAUAUGGG
ensembl:lncRNA